rnacentral:rRNA from 1 species
UACAGAGGGGGCAAGCGUUGUCCGGAUUUACUGGGCGUACAGCGCGCGCAGGCGGUUGCGUAUGUGAGCGGUGACAUCCGCGGGCUCAACCCGCGGCGGCCCGCUUACACAGCGCGACUGGAGGCAGGGAGAGGGAUGUGGAAUACCCGGUGGAGCGGUGAAAUGCGUAGAUAUCAGGAGGAACACCUGCGGUGUAGACGGCUUACUGGACCAUAACUGACGCUGAGGCACGGAAGCGUGGGUAGCAAACAGG